UCUCCCCCAUUUGUGAUUCCCAGCAACAUGCCUCCCAACAGUGGAGGCAAUCACUGGCUUGAAAAUCAGUGAGUUCCACUUGAAAAAAAACUUCACUUGCGCCUUCUGGUACCACUUCAAAUGGAUUCUGAAACGUUAUCAUUUCCUUUCUGCGCUUCUGGCAAUCAGUGAUCCUGUUCUGAAACCCCACCUGCAGUAGGUUCCAUCUUUCAACAUGGAAUUGUGAAUUUCCGUCCUCAGAUUUAGUUUGUUACUGCAUGAAAUGUUUGAACAGCUAUGUUUACUAACGUGCUUCAUAAAAUAAAAUAAAAAAACCGUUUUGCUUCCA